AGCACCGACCAUGUGCCGAGAGCUAACUGUGUCAAGAAGAGCAUGCUUCAGUUGGCUGGAGUGAGCAAUUCAACUUGUGGAGGAGUGAGAAAUGUUAGUGUUGAGACAAGAAACGUAAAACCCCAGGGACAGCAAGGCUGAGGAGAAUGGCUCCCACAGCUUCAUGCACUCCAUGGACCCACAGCUGGAGCGGCAAAUGGAAACCACCCAGAACCUGGUGGACUCCUACAUGGCCAUUGUCAACAAGACCGUGUGGGACCUCAUGACCAAGGAGUUCAUCUUCUCGGAGCUGCUGUCCAACCUGCGCUCGCGUGGGAACGAGAAGACACUCAUGGAGGAGUCGGCAGAGUAGGCACAGCGGCGCGACGAGAUGCUGCUUCUCAGAGCUGCUGUCCAACCUGCACUCGCUUGGGAACCAGAAGACACUCGUGGAGGAGUCGGCAGAGCAGGCACAGCGGCGCGACGAGACUCGCGUGGGAAGAAAUAGACACUCCUGGAGGAGUCGGCAGAGCAGGCACAGCGGCGCGACGAGACUCGCGUGGGAACGAGAAGACACUCCUGGAGGAGUCGGCAGAGCAGGCAGACCAAGGA
rnacentral:lncRNA from 1 species